rnacentral:rRNA from 1 species
CCUACGGGAGGCAGCAGCCGCGGUAAUAUUGCCCAAUGGACGAAAGUCUGAGGCAGCAACGCCGCGUGCGCGAUGAAGGCCUUCGGGUCGUAAAGCGCUUUUCGGGAGGAUGAGAGCGGACAGUACUCCCGGAAUCAGGUACGGCUAACUACGUGCCAGCAGCCGCGGUAAU